AAAAUUGAAGUUAAAAUUCCAACUAAUUUAUAUAUCUUAUUAAUCUUUAAAUAUAAUGCGAAAUUCACUUUUUAAUCUAUUUUUUAUUCCAAUAAUUUUGAUUUUCAAUUGCUAUUUUAAUUACAGACAGCAAAAUUCAGUAGGAAUAUAUAAUUACGUAAAAAUGAUUAAUUAUUGUUCUAUGAAAUAUUGUAAUUCUCGUAAAUUAUUAAUCGUCGCUCAAUUUUUUUUAAUCGAGUAAAGAGAAUACUUGGCUAAAGUAAGGAACUAAAUUAAUUAGUUUAUAUCACACGAUAUUCUCGGUUUUCCCAGUAUUUUGUAAGAGUUGAAGAAUUUCUCCGAUAGAUAAAAUGUUUCUCGAUUACGAUAUGUAUUGGUACUAAUAUAUGUUUCUUGUCUCUAUCAUGUAGUAGUAAAUGAUUGUUGGUAUCAUUUCACAAUCUUUAUAUAUUCAUUUCUUUUUGAUGACAGCGACACGAGAACGCUGAUAAAACAGAUUUAAUCCGCACAAGUGAGAUAUUUUUAUUAAUUUUGCUGGUUUACUUUUUUUGUAAUAAUAAUUCGUUUCGUAAAAGAUAGAGAAGGACUUAAAAUUAAUAAUUUUAAUUAUGGAAAAUACAUUCCUUAUGAAAACAAUAUUAUCAACUUUAGUUUUUCUCCUCAACUUCACUUUUUUUAUUUUAUUAAAUUUUUUCUUAAUUUAAUCAACCUAAAAAAUCUGAAACAUUAUUAAAGAAAUAACAAGAAGUAUCAGAGAAAAGAAUUAUUGAUAUUCCUGUUAUUUAAUAAUGCUUUAAAACGACCUAUGGUCGACAUUACGUCUAAUUGUUUAACGAAGAAAUGUGUAAAGAGAGUAAAAAUAUAUUUUUGUAGCUCGUUAUAUAAACCGCGUAGAACGCAAGAAUUAAACUGCAUUUAGGGACUUCUUUUUGUCGUUUAGUGUCCAAAAUUAAUUGACCCGCCUACGAUCAUAUAAACAGGUCUCGACCGUAUUCGUAUAAACAGGUAUCUCGACACUCAUAUACCUACAUGAUUAUCUAAACAGAUCUUGAUGAUUAUAUACCAAAGUCUAGGAAAAAUCGUCCGAAAAUUGAGUCGUAAAAUAUCAAUAUGGAAGGUUCUCGUUUUGCGCAUGCGUAAAGUGCUAUGAAUGCUUCGGACAGAAACGGGAACAUUCUACUUAUCUUUAUCUGCCUCGCAAGAACGUGGACUUUAUUGACCUUCCGUGUUGAUUUUUUAUGACUAGACACGGCUCAAUUUUCGGACGGUUUUCUCUAACGAAUAUCGAAACCUGUUUAUAAAUUUGUUUAUAUCCAGAAUGUCUCCGUAUCUCCAGUACGAUCCUAUUACGCUAUCAUGAAAACUUGCCUUCAAUAUAGUCACAUAAAUUUAAAUUUACUAACUGAUUGUAUAUACGGAUAGAAAAGUCUGCAUUGUUCAGAUAUUUACCAAGAAAUAACUCGGGAAAUUAGAAGCACUUCAUCAAGUAACGUCCAGUUGAAUGCCGCAUUGACAAUUUUGGGACAAGUCACCUAUAGUCUGUAAAGAAGUUUGGAUUUUCUCGAGAUCUUUUUCUUUGACAAUCCAUGUAAACUUUCCUAAACGUUUUACCAUCUCUCAUGAGAUAUUUUUUUUUUUCGCGCGUGCUAGUUUCUAAGUACAUACAAUCUUGGAAAAAGUUUUAGAUUUGAACUACAAAAGUUCUUUCAAUUUUCACGGACUUCGGCGAACAGAACGGUUUAGUGAACCAUGGGCACCAACUCACUCACUCUUUUACCCUAAAGCUGCAAACUUAACGUAACACCUGGUAACGCUCAUAUGAAACAGGUCUGGACACUCACUAGGGAAACCCGUUCAUCUUUUGAUUCAAAAAAUACCAAGAUGGAGAGUGAGGAAAAGCCUCGCUCUGUGAAACAAACAGAAAUAGAUAGAGUGAGUCUGUCAUUGUGUGAAAUAUUCGUAAUAUCUAUGCAUAUGUAUAUUCGCAUUACGCUUGCGUAAAAGGGACCUUUUCUUGCUUUACAUCUUGAUUUUUUUCGACUCAAAAGAUGAAUGGUUCUAUCAAUGCUUUCAGUAUCGAAGUGUCUAUACUCCAGACGUGUUUAUACUAUCGUAGUCUCCAGUCGCCAUAAGUUCCGAUCAGUUUCGACGUUUUCGUGCCAAGUUUCGAUUUAGUUGCUGUACAAUAAAAAAAGCUUUUCGUGAAUUGCAUUUCAAAAGUGUAGCAGCUUCCUGGACAUCCAGUCCGUCCAAACGGACUGCGGCCCUUAAAACAGUUUGGAAUGCACUAGCAAACCAUUUGCUAGAGCGAGAGAGAUUUAGAAAAUGCAAAAUUGGAACCAAUGGCAAUUGUCAGCUGGUGCUGUUGCUACUCCAAUGCCACAACCACCAGUUGGUUAUGCUGUACCAGGAACAGAUCCUACGGCUAUGAUGCAAGCAUACAUGCAGUAUUAUAAUCAACCAGCACCUAGUGGGUAUACAGCUGAACAAUGGGCCGCAGCUCAACAACAAAACUGGGCUCAGUGGCAGCAAUGGCAGCAACAAUAUCAGCAAUGGCAAGCACAGUAUGGGGAGAAGUAUCAAGAAACAAUGAAACACAUGUCAGCCCAGAACAUGAGCUUAGCUAAUCAGGUGUCACAGUUACCAAUCGUACAACCUCCACCACCUCUUCCAAAAGAGGAUACAAAACCGCCAUUACCUCCUAAUAAUAUGAACACAUAUCAAUUUACAAGCAUGCCUCCUCCACAUCAAAACAAUCUUCCAUUAUUUCCCGUUAAACAAAACGCGAAUACACCAAUGCAACAAACAAAUAUACAAAACUGUCCUCAAAAUCCCCCUUUACCUCCAAAUCAGCCACCAUUACCUCCUGAAAAUAACAAUAGUAGUAAAGAAAAUAAUAGUUUAAAUGGUAAACGCAGUAAUAGUAUCGGUAGUGAAUCUAAUAGUGCUAAAAAGUUGAAAAUUGAAGAUGAAGAACUAACUGAAGCUGAGAAAACAUUUGACGCUCAGUUUAAACAGUGGGAGGAGCAGUUUAAUAAGUGGAAACAGCAAAAUGCUAAUCAUCCAGACAAGACCCAAUACAAACAAUACGAAGCUAAAUGGACAUCCUGGCGAGAGAAGCUUAUCGAACGACGUGAACAAAUGCGUAGGAAACGCGAGCAACAAAAGCAAACUGUUGUUAAAGUAGAUAUUGAAAAGAAUAAAGGCUCGUCUGGUGAUGAUAAAAUACUGAACAUUCUAUCCAGUACAGAAAAUCAAGGAUUAAUUAACAAUUUAUUGGGUAUUGGGAAAACUCUUGGCUUAACUGCAAAGCAGAGUAUUAAUGUACCUCCACCGCCACCGCCGCCACCAGCAACAGAAACAGUAGCGUCUAACAUUCAAACGGCAACCUCCUCUCAAGUAUCACAGUCGUCGACAACUCAACUACCAGUCAUGAACAUGAUGUCUUCUAAUAUGACUUCGUCACCUUGGAAUUCUCAACAAUGGACAGCACAGUAUAAUGCAGGCGUGAACGUAUCGAAUUUCUCUAACUUCCAAGCUAUGACUGGAGUACCUCCACCUCCAUUUAAUAUGCCACCAACUCAAAUGCCUCCACCAAACUUUACACAACCGCCGCCGAAUUUUCCAGCUAUACCAAACUUUUCACAACCACCGCCAGGUUUUGUUAGCAAUGACUCACGACAGAAUCACAACGUACGACCUCCAGUUCCACCCAACAUGCAAGGAAGGCCUCCUUCAUUCGGAAUGAAUACUGGUAAAGGUCCAGAUAAUAAUUUGAUACACAACGAACGUCAAAAUCAACCUGGUUCUAUGAGCAACUUUGACUCAGUAGGUCAUCAGGGUAAUUUCGGUAUAAAUGACGCUGGGCAUCAAAAGGAAGGCAUACCAGCAGAACGUUUUGGUCCAGAUAGUAUAAAUGAUCAACAAGGUAAUCAAUUUCGCAAUGAUAUGUUUGGUCAACGAAAUGAAAAUUAUAAAUUAAACGAUGAACGAGUAUCUGAAGCCGAACAAUUUAGAAGAGAAGAUAGGAACUAUCAAGAACACGGAAAUAGUCAGUUCAAUCAACAGAAAAUGAACUUUAACAACGAUAGAUUUGCUUCUGGAAACGAUCGGUUUGGGCCAGGAAACAAUCGGUUUGGUCCAACGAAUGAUAGAUUCGGACCUGGAAACGAUCGAUUUGGACCUGGAGAUAACAGAUUCGUUGCUGGAAAUGAUAGAUUUGGACCAGGAGGUGACAGGGUAGGACAAGGAACUGAAACUGUUAAUGAUCGUUUUGGAACAAACAAUAAUCGAUUUGGUCCAAAUAAUGAACCUUAUGGUCCUGGGGGUGAUAGGUUUAAUAGGAAUAGUAUGGAUCGUUUUGACCAAAAAGACGUAGUAGAUAAUAGACGUGAUAGUUUUCCAAAUGUUCCAAGGGGUUUCGGUAGGAAUAAUCAAUUUGAACCACCAGAUAAAUUUGCUCCAGAACUAAAGAAGCUUAUGGAAAAAAGGAGAGCAGCGAUGGACGUAUUCAAACCAAGCUAUUUUGAUUCUGAUAAAAGUAGCAGCGUUGGUUCACUGAGUGAAAGCUUUAAGAAGAUUACAGGUGAUUCUCCAUUCAUGAAAUCUGUUGGAAACCAAAAUUUGGGACCUCGUGGAUCUUCUAACUUUGGAUCAGGCGCACCUGGUAAUUUCAGAAUACCUGGAGAUUUUAAGCUUCAUGGAAAUCCUGACUUUGGACCCCGUGCUCUUCUAGGUAUUGUACGCAACAAUUCGUUCGAUUCGCGGGAUUCAUUCAAAGGAUCGAAUUCUAGUUCACAACAAAUGCAAGAUCUUAUGCAUACCGAACCUAGAUCGGAAAUGGCGAAUAUCGGAAACGACACGAAUGUGAAGAACGAGGUUAAAAAUGAAUCUACUACUGUAGUAGAACAAGUUGCGGUAAAUAAUUCAAAAUCGACUGAACAAAACGUCGAUAAUAUACAAAAAGACAGUUCUGAAAACUAUUCAAUACAGAAAGACAUUCCAUUACUAGAAAAACCACCUUGGGUUAACGCUCAACUUCCUGAAGAUAGCUUAUUGCAGAAGGAUAGUAUUAAGGAGGAAGAAAUUCCGUCUACGAACUACAGCUCUUCAGAACAGGAUCCACAGAAUGCUUUCAAAGAACAAACAGAGGUAAAGCAAGAACUAUCUAAUAAUGAUAGUGAAAAUACCGAGAAAAAACCUGAAGUGUUACCUUUUAUGGGAGAAAAUGAUCUAAAACCUGAAGAUUUAAAUAUGGAGCCACCGCCUGAAUUACCCAAUUUAGGUCCUGUUCUUACAGACACUAAUGAACCUACUGAUUCUGUACAAAGAACAGAUGAACCAUAUGAUGGAAAAGAGUCUUCCUUGAAAUCAUUUGUAAGUAACACUGAAUCUUAUGAACCAAGAGGACCUUUUGAUGCUACAUUUGGUCCAAGGGGAAUGCCAUUUAGAUCAAGUACACCUUUUUUGAGUCCAAGAGGUUCUAACAAUGUAAGAUUUCCUAUGUUUGAACCACCAUUUAAUUCUUCUGGUCCAAAUCCGUACUCAUUAGGUCCUCGUGGACCCAAUGAUGUACAAUUUGGUCCAAGAGCUUUGAAUGAUGGGCAAUUUGACUCAAGAGGCUCGAACGAUGGACAGUUUGGUCCAAGAGCUUCGAAUAAUGCGCAAUUUGGUCCUCGAGGUCUUGGUGAUGGACAAUAUGGCCCUCGAGGUACUGGUGAUGGACAAUUUGGUCCAAGAGCUUCUAAUGAUGGGCAGUUCGGUCAACGAGGUCCAAACGAUGCACAAUUUGGCCCAAGGGGACCUAAUGAUGGACAAUUUGGUCCUAGAAGUGUCAAUGAUGGAAUGUUUGGACCAAGAGGUCCUAAUGAUGGAUUAUUUGGGACGAGAGGACCCGUUGAAAAUCAAUUCGGUUUAAGAGCUCCUAAUAAUGCACAGUUUGGACCUAGACCUUCGAAUAUUGGACAAUUUGGCCCCAGAUAUGAUGCUCAGUUAAAUUUAAGCAGACCUAAUGAUGGACAAUUCGGUCCUAGAGGGACGAACGAUGGUCAAUUUGGGCCCCAUGGGCCUAAUAAUAGACCGUUUGAUAAUCGAGGUCUUUGCGAUCAGUUUAUGCCCAGAGGACUUAACGAAGGACAGCCAAGAUUUUCAGGACUCAAUGAUAGACUUUUUGGUUCACGACGCAAUGAUCCACCUUAUCAACGAAGUCCGGGUGGUUCGAAAGGUGCAAACGACGGCGGCCAGUUUUCAAAUAGAUUUAAUGAAAAACAAUUUGAUAAUUCUACUGAUGGAUGCUUUGGUUCACAGAGUUCUAAUGAUGCAUAUUUUGGUCCACGAGGUCCAAUAGGUAGCUCAAAUGACACCUCUUUCUUAUCUCGAGGGCAACCUGACAGAUCUUUUGAUAAUCGACAACUUGAUGUCAGAGGAAUUGGAGAACUUAGAUCAAAAGGACCAAUUGAUAAUAAUUCUGGUUCCAAGAUACAGGGUACUUCAGAAAUAAGUGGUGAUGGUGGAGUAUUCGCUAACAAUGAGCAAAUAUCAAUUGAUGAAAGUAUGCAACAGAGGCAAUUCGAUUCUAAUGAUGCGCAGAACUCGCUCUGGAGGCAACCAUACUCUAAAAACAGCUUCGGAGAUGUGGAUCAAAGAUCUGGAAGAGGCUAUCUUGAUAAAUCCAUGUUGCCUCAAAAUGAAUCAUUUAAUCAGAGUAUAGCGAACGACAUAGAACGACGAUCUCCUAAGAAUGGAAAUAAAUGUAACGUUCCUGAUAAAAGAUCAGAGAGAAAUAUGAACGAUAUAACGGUGAGUGAUUACAAGACUGGAUACACAGAAUCUUCCGCAGGUUCUGAUUAUACAAAAUUCGAUAACUCUAAUAUAUACGUGAAACGACCUAUGGAUAACAGACAAAGCCAAGUCAGGUGUUCAGCUGUGAAAGAAUUUUGUAUAGAGAAACAAUUUAAUUAUAAUCAUAGCGGGGCUAGUAGCGACAAGAAAUUUAUCGAACAUAUACCUGCUAAAGUAAUAGAUUAUGCCCACACUUCCCGAUCAUCGAAUCAAGAUCACUUAACUCCUGUGCAAUGUUUCGACUAUGGACAUGGCAAUUUAAAACCUCUAGUGCCAGAGCAUGAAGUGUACCCAAAGAAAGAUUUUAGAAAUUGGGAGGAGAACGAACAGAAUUUAAAAGAUUAUACAGAGAAAAUCAGAAGGUACGAAUGUUAUGCGAACAAAACAGAAUCUAGGCAUCCUCGAGACUACAAACAAAGAAGGAAUAGCGAAGAAUUCAUAGACGAUAGAAAACCUGAAAGGGAACGCAGAGAGAAAGAGGACUAUAAAGCGAAAGAACGUGAUGAUAGGAUAUUUGAUCAUACAUCUGACAAAGAUCAAGAUAACCGCUAUGAUAAGAGUCCCAUUAAAGAAAGAACGCGGGAAAGAUGUGAACCGUCUCAGAAGGAAACGACUAAAGAGAAUGACAAAGAUGAAGACAGAUCGAAAGGAAAUAUAAACUGGCAGGAGAAUUCGAACAAGAACGUCAUAGAUACAAAGCCAUCAGAGAACAGUGUUACAGAUGCUCAGCAUAAUGUGUUGGAAUCUACACCAAAAACUUUGGAAUUGGCAAAAACACCAAACUGCACAAUGGUGGAUGACUUAUUGUGCCCUCCAGGUCGUCAGAACAGACCACCAAAAAUAGCUAUAAUUUUAAGGGGUCCACCAGGCAGUGGAAAAUCUUUUGUGGCGAAACUUAUUAAGGAUAAGGAAGUUGAACAAGGAGGUUCUGCACCACGAAUAUUAAGUCUUGAUGAUUAUUUCUUGGUAGAGAAAGAGAUGGAAUCCACAGAUGAUAACGGAAAGAAAGUUACGGUUAAGGAAAUGGUCUAUGAGUACGAGGAAGCAAUGGAGCAAAGUUACAUCACAUCUCUUGUUAAAGCUUUUAAAAAGAAUAUUACCGAUGGUUUCUUUAAUUUCAUUAUAUUGGAUUGUAUCAACGAAAAAAUAUCCGAUUAUGAAGAAAUGUGGAGUUUUGCUAAAACAAAAGGCUUCAAAGUGUAUGUUUGUGAGAUGGAAAUGGAUUUACAAAUUUGUUUAAAAAGAAAUAUUCAUAAUCGUACAGAAGAUGAAAUAAAUAGAAUUAUAGAUUAUUUUGAGCCAACUCCAAGUUAUCAUCAAAAAUUGGAUGUUAAUUCUAUGUUACAGGAACAAGCAAUUGAAGAAGUUCAUAUGGAAGACACUGAAGAAAUCCAGGAGAAAUCUCCACAACAAAAUGAAGAUAGUCAAGAUAGUCAAGAUGAUACUCAAGAUACUAUUGGGGUUAGCAAGUGGGAACGUAUGGAAGCAGAGGACAAAUUAGAUCGUUUGGAUGGGCUUGCAAAAAAGAAAAAUGAAGGAAAGGUGCAAACUAUGAAAGAUUUCCUUCAAGUUCCUGACUAUUAUAACAUGGAAGAUACUUCUGGCAAAAAACGUGUACGUUGGGCAGAUUUGGAAGAACGUAAAGAACAAGAAAAAAUGCGCGCUGUAGGAUUUGUAGUCGGUCAUACAAAUUGGGAUCGUAUGAUGGAUCCCACAAAAGGAGGAAGCGCCUUAACACGCACAAAGUAUAUAUGAUUUAACUUUACCUCUAGGUUAUCUAGAAAAAAUUACAAAAAUUGAUAUUAAUCGCGUGUUUUUCUCACUAUCAUAAUGACAUAUUUUUAUUCGACUACAGUAGUGUACAGAAGUGAACACGAGAUGUCUUCAAACUUUCAAAUUCUUCAGAUGAUGUAUGGUUCUAUUAUAGCCUUAUAGAAAAUCUAGGCUAGUGUAAAUCUUGUUAAUUUAUGUAAAGCAUGCUGUAAUUAUUGUACAUAAUAUUAAUGAAAUUGUUUUCACGAUA